GUGCUUGCUCUGGCAGCACACAUACGGAAAUUGAAACAGUACAGAGCAGAUUAGCAUGGCCUUUGUGCAAGGAUGACACAUAAAAAUCAAUUUGAAUAAUCAUUUAU
ensembl:snRNA U6 U6 spliceosomal RNA